GUAUUUUUGGUGCAAGGAGAAAGUACCAUGUUAUACUGAUAGUUGGUCUAUCUUGGUGGAAGAUAAUGCGUGAUUCAAGCAGAGUCACGUGCAUAUAAAAAAAAUUGAAUCGAAAAAAUCGAAAUCGAAUCGAAUCAAGCUUUAAAAAAUCGAAACGUUAAGAACCGAACCGAACUAGUUAGGUUCGGUGUUCGAUGUCCCCUUCGAAACACCAAAACUAAAAUAGCCGAACUGAUCGUCCACCCCCGUAAUAUUCUAUCUCAUUCAAAACACCCAAGCACAAACUAUUUUUGGAUAUUCCUUUAUUGAUUAUGAUGCGAUUGAAGUAUCCUCAAGCAUCUACCAAUAAACCCUCCUUCUGCACUCUCUCUCCCUAGUGAUCUCUAGACUAGAAAGAAUGUUGAUGAACACUGUCUUCAACUCCAUUGAAACCCUUCAUCUCAAAACUUCUUCUUUUUGUCCAAUUUCACUUUCCACCAAACACCCUAAUCUUCUCCUCCCCCUCACAUUACCCAAUUCCCGAAUCACCCCCUGUAGACCAAUUAAAUGGCAGAUAAGUGGCUGUGCAGCUGGUCAAGAAAUCGACAUGGAAAGAAGCAAAGAAGGAUUAUACAAAGCAAAGCCCAAAAAAGUUGUAAUCUUAUGGGACUUAGACAACAAACCACCACGUGGUCCACCUUAUGAGGCAGCCAUGUCACUUAAAAAGUUAGCACAAUGUUUUGGUGAAGUUGUUGAUAUGUCUGCAUAUGCAAAUCGACAUGCUUUCAUCCAUCUUCCUCAAUGGGUUCUUGAACAAAGGCGUGAAAGACGUCAUCUUGAUGUUCUUGAACGUAAAGGGGUUGUAAACCCAUCUGAAACUUACAUAUGUUCUGUUUGUGGAAGAAAAUGUAAGACCCAUUUGGAUUUGAAGAAGCAUUUUAAGCAGUUACAUGAAAGGGAAAGGGAAAAAAAGCUAAGUCGUAUGAGGUCAUUAAAAGGCAAGAAAAGACAGAAGUUUAAAGAGAGAUUUGUUGAUGGUAAUUAUAAGUAUAUUGAAGCUGCUAAGAGUUUGAUAACACCAAAAGUUGGUUAUGGUUUAGCAUCUGAGUUGAGGAGAGCUGGGGUUUAUGUAAAGACCGUUGCGGAUAAGCCACAGGCAGCAGAUUGGGCAUUGAAAAAGCAAAUGCAGCAUUCAAUGAGUAGAGGUAUUGAUUGGUUAUUCUUGAUUUCUGAUGAUUCUGAUUUUUGUGAUAUGUUGAGGAGAGCAAAAGAAGCUAAUUUGGGUACAGUAGUAGUUGGGGAUUGGGAUAGGGCAUUAGGGAGGCAUGCUGAUUUAUGGGUUCCAUGGACGGGGGUAGAGAACGGGGAGAUAACGGAGAAGGAUUUAGUGUUAAAGAUUGAGAGGAGAAAGGAGUCUUGGGGUAGGAGUAAUGGUCGGUUUUCUGUAAGUGAGUUCAAUGGUGGGACGAGUGGGGAGGGUACUAGUUUGAUGGAUGAUAUUGUUGAGAAUUUGGAGUCUCCUGGCACGAGGAUUUCAGCAUUCUCUGAAGGGGAGGAGGAUGAAGAAGUUGACGAACUGGAAUGGCUUCGAGCGAGAUUGGAUCGACAAGGUGAUGACGAAUAUAAUACAGAGGACAGCGACGAAGAGGAGGGGGACUACUUAUUGGAUAGUGAGGACGAAGAUACAGGCGAGAUGGUAAUAUAUGAUGAUGAAAGCAAUAAGAGAAAUAACAGUUUGAAUUUAUAGUAAUUAAUUGAGAUACGGCUAUGCUCUGUGAAAAUGAGGUAAAAUGAAAGGUGGCUAAAGCUAUUUGACAUAUUGGCCGAGUGUGUCUCUAGCAGUUCAGCUAUCUUAGAGUAUGUGAGGUGUUUUUCUUGAGAUGGAUUCCGGAGAUCAGAAGCUUCAAAAGAACUGUUUCUGGUUUUUAUCCCCUCCCCCGCCCCACAAUAUCUGUCAAUUCCCUUGCUUAUUUAAGAUAUUUUGUUCAUGAUUUAGCUAUUGAAGUCCAAUGGAAUUGGUUUUUGCCUUUUUGGUCAAAUUGUCAAAGUAAAGUACGCAGCUUUGCUAGCAAGCGCAUUUUGGUUUCCAAUUUUAUUACUCUGCCCUUCUCGAUCUGACAUGAAAUAGAUUAUAAAUUGGAAUUGAUACAAUCAGCCGAUGGAUUUAUUUUAGCUUGUACUUGUGUACUCACUAAUCGGGACUAUGCUUGGAAAAGGAAGUCUUGUCUGGACUCCUAUUGCAUCCAUUCUUUCCAUCUUGUGUUUCUGUUAGCUAUGCAGUCCAUGGAGAAAUGGCAUUUCACAUUUUCUUUCUCCAUGUUAAUGUCGAUUUUCCUUUGAAUUAAUUGUUACCAUUCUAAAAAAAAAAAAAAAAAAAAAAAAAAAAAAAAUCCUGUGAAUAAAUCUGCUUCAUGUGAUAAUGCAAGAGAUUAGUAAAUAAAAUACAGGAGAUCAUUGAGGGUCAUUUUUAUCUAUACAAAAUUUAACAGGUCCUAUGGAGAUCCUUUCUCCGAAGUAUAGGAAGAAAUUAACCACAGCCAUGUGUUCUCACUAAGAUAAGGAAGCUGCUACUUCUAUUUGCUGGUAUGUCUGUGUAUAGUAGUUUUUUUUAUUUUUUUUAUUUUUUUUAAUUUUUUAAUGGUGUAUUAUGAUUCAAAUUUCAUCCCUGGCCUUGUACUUGAUUUUGGCUGUAUUAGUCUAACGCUCUACUCAGUUUGCAUAACAUCUUCUACAAAGAAAACCUAGGUAUUUUAUAGUGUGAAAGAUUGCUUAGAUUUUCAAAGCAUUCUUUAUUACUGAGAUCAAUCACGAAGGUGUUUGGACACUAGAAAUGAUAUUGUUUUUCCUGGGCUGAAUGUGGAAGGUUUGUCAGACACUAGAAAUGAUAUAGUCCAGAAAUAAUAUUGUUUUGCACGCUAGAAAUAAUAUUGUUUUGGAUGCUUGUGUUGUCGCACUUGGUGCUAAUAUCUUGAUCCUUCACGUUUCUUUCCAUUGUUUGAUUACUAUUUGGACCCUCGGCAUUGCAUGCUUGUUUAAAUAUAAAAUGGUAGAUAGAUGCUUUCUUGUGGUCUAUUGCAACUCAGUCUACUC